GACAGAGGGUGCAAACGUUGUUCGGAUUUACUGGGCGUAAAGCGCGUGUAGGCGGCUUUGCAAGUCGGAUGUGAAAGCCCACGACUCAACCGUGGAAGUGCAUCCGAAACUGCAUGGCUCGAGUCUCGGAGAGGAAGGUGGAAUGCUUGGUGUAGAGGUGAAAUUCGUAGAUAUCAAGCAGAACACCUGCGGCGAAGGCGGCCUUCUGGACGAUGACUGACGCUGAGACGCGAAAGCGUGGGGAGCAAACAGG
rnacentral:rRNA from 1 species